rnacentral:misc_RNA from 1 species
GCUCAAUUUGCCCAACCGAUUCAACGGAUUUUGGAAAGCUGCCAGUCUUGUUACAAAGCAACCAAAAAACUUCGAGCAACCGCCGCCCUGACAGAGGCUACGCGCUCUCUUGACAAGAGCAGUUUGGAUACAAAUGAAAUACUCCAGCGGGUGAUGGAUGCAGCCCAGAAACUGAUGAACGCUGACCGCAGUACCUUGUGGUUGAUAGACCGUGAUCGCAACGAAUGGUGGACGAACAUCCCCCAAGCAGAUGGCUCCUUGACGGAAUACCGAUUGCCGAUGGGAGUAGGCUUUGUUGGCAAGGUAGCUCAAACGGGUCAGCCCCUAAAUAUUCCCUUUGACCUGUACAACCAUCCUGACUCUGAGAUAUCUAAAAACACCGACCAGAAAAUAGGUUACCGCACCUGUAGCUUACUCUGUAUGCCAGUUUUGAAUCCUGAUGGUGAGUUACUGGGUAUAACCCAGU